GUCUAUGGCCAUAUCACCCUAAACAUGCCCGAUCUUGUCUGAUCUCGGAAGCUAAGCAGGGUCAGGCCUGUCUAGUACUUGGAUAGGAGACAGAUCUUCAGAAGAUACUGCUCAGUUGCAAGCA
rnacentral:rRNA from 1 species